rnacentral:rRNA from 1 species
GAGACAGCAGUCGCCGCGGGAAUACGGAGGGUGCAAGCGUUAAUCGGAAUUACUGGGCGUAAAGCGCACGCAGGCGGUCUGACAAGUCAGAUGUGAAAUCCCCGGGCUUAACCUGGGAACUGCAUUUGAAACUGUCAGGCUGGAGUCUUGUAGAGGGGGGUGGAAUUCCAGGUGUAGCGGUGAAAUGCGUAGAGAUCUGGAGGAAUACCGGUGGCGAAGGCGGCCCCCUGGACAAAGACUGACGCUCAGGUGCGAAAGCGUGGGGAGCAAACAGGAUUAGAUACCCGGGUAGUCCCUGUCUCUUAUAA